rnacentral:rRNA from 1 species
GACGAACGCUGGCGGCGUGCUUAACACAUGCAAGUCGAACGGGCUGCAAUUCGGAGUAAUCUGGAUUGUAGCUAGUGGCGGACGGGUGCGUAACGCGUGAACAAUCUGUCCUCGAGAGGGGGAUAACACACAGAAAUGUGUGCUAAUACCGCAUAAGACCACGGAGUCACAUGGCUCUGAGGUAAAAGGAGCAAUCCACUUGAGGGUGAGUUCGCGUCUGAUUAGCUAGUUGGUGAGGUAACGGCCCACCAAGGCGACGAUCAGUAGCCGAUCUGAGAGGAUGACCGGCCACACUGGAACUGAGAAACGGUCCAGACUCCUACGGGAGGCAGCAGUGGGGAAUAUUGGGCAAUGGGCGAAAGCCUGACCCAGCAACGCCGCGUGAGGGAAGAAGGCUUUCGGGUCGUAAACCUCUGUCGCAGGGGAAGAAGGAAGUGACGGUACCCUGUGAGGAAGCUCCGGCUAACUACGUGCCAGCCGCCGCCGUAACAC